AUUGAACGCUGGCGGCAGGCCUAACACAUGCAAGUCGAGCGGAUGAAGGGAGCUUGCUCCUGGAUUCAGCGGCGGACGGGUGAGUAAUGCCUAGGAAUCUGCCUGGUAGUGGGGGAUAACGUCCGGAAACGGGCGCUAAUACCGCAUACGUCCUGAGGGAGAAAGUGGGGGAUCUUCGGACCUCACGCUAUCAGAUGAGCCUAGGUCGGAUUAGCUAGUUGGUGGGGUAAAGGCCUACCAAGGCGACGAUCCGUAACUGGUCUGAGAGGAUGAUCAGUCACACUGGAACUGAGACACGGUCCAGACUCCUACGGGAGGCAGCAGUGGGGAAUAUUGGACAAUGGGCGAAAGCCUGAUCCAGCCAUGCCGCGUGGGUGAAGAAGGUCUUCGGAUGGUAAAGCACUUUAAGUUGGGAGGAAGGGCAGUAAGUUAAUACCUUGCUGUUCUGACGUUACCAACAGAAUAAGCACCGGCUAACUUCGG
rnacentral:rRNA from 1 species